rnacentral:rRNA from 1 species
AUUGAACGCUGGCGGCAUGCCUUACACAUGCAAGUCGAACGGUAACAGGUCUUCGGAUGCUGACGAGUGGCGAACGGGUGAGUAAUACAUCGGAACGUGCCCGAUCGUGGGGGAUAACGAAGCGAAAGCUUUGCUAAUACCGCAUACGAUCUACGGAUGAAAGCAGGGGACCGCAAGGCCUUGCGCGAACGGAGCGGCCGAUGGCAGAUUAGGUAGUUGGUGGGAUAAAAGCUUACCAAGCCGACGAUCUGUAGCUGGUCUGAGAGGACGACCAGCCACACUGGGACUGAGACACGGCCCAGACUCCUACGGGAGGCAGCAGUGGGGAAUUUUGGACAAUGGGCGAAAGCCUGAUCCAGCCAUGCCGCGUGCAGGAUGAAGGCCUUCGGGUUGUAAAAUGCUUUUGUACGGAACGAAAAGACUCUGGUUAAUACCUGGGGUCCAUGACGGUACCGUAAGAAUAAGCACCGGCUAACUACGUG